rnacentral:lncRNA from 1 species
CUUUAUAACUUCCGGUUCUAAAAAAUCUCCGGUUUAAAAUAAUCAGAGUAUUAUUUAUCUGAAAAUUAGUCGUCACUUGCUUUCUCUCUCUCUGUGUGUCCCCAAAGAGUCCUCCGCCGCAUCUCAACUUGUCUCUCUAUCUCUAAAAUGGCUUCCUCUUGUCUCUCCUUCAACGCCUCUGUCAGCCCUAAUCAUGACCUCUUCCGCCGCCACCCUUCCUCCCCUCUCCUCCGCCACCGCCCCGUCCUCAUCUCAUGCACCUCCCCCGCAGACGGAAACAACACCACCACACCGAUCGAAACAAUCACCAAGCCUCGCCGAACCGAGAACACCAUCCGCGACGACGCACGUCUCCAACGCUCCACCGCCGCGAAUCCCUUCUCCGCCAGAUACGUCCCGUUCAACGCUCCCCCCGGCUCCAGCGAGCAAUACUCCCUCGACGAGAUCGUCUACCGCAGCCGCUCCGGCGGCCUCCUCGACGUCGAGCAAAAUAAAGUCGCACGUUCUGCUGUUUAAGUUCCAAUAAACGACGCGUAGUUGUUUUCUAGAAAGUAGAACCGGCAGGGCAAUAAGCACUAAACUAUCAAUCGUCUUCUUCAGUCUUCAUCAUAGGACUCCUUUGGAUCUUCGGCAAGCUAUUCUCGCGGCAAAGUUUUGGCAAAGGCGUAACUGGGUUUAAGGGUUUUGAAGCUAAACGGAGAUGAGCAAGAGACCGCCGCCUGAUCCGGUGGCUGUGCUUAGAGGACACCGUCAUUCUGUUAUGGAUGUUUCGUUCCAUCCAUCAAAGUCUCUGCUUUUCACUGGGUAAGCUAGUGUUCUCUCACUUGUGAGUAACCCCCAGUUGAUUGACUUGGGCCCGAGGUCAUGUUCUCCUUUUAUUAUUAUCAAUAGAAUUUGUGCACAAAAAAAAAGUAACCCCCAGUUCUAUACUGCUUUAUAUUUUGAUGGUUUGAUGCAAAGUGAAGAUUUUUUAUUUCUCCAGUUCAGCUGAUGGAGAGUUGAGGAUUUGGGAUACCAUUCAGCACCGUACAGUUUCUUCUGCUUGGUUUGUCAUUUUGAUUUUAAACAUUUUUUCCUUCCCCUUCCGUAAUGCAGUAGCACUCACUUGUUUUGUCUUGGAUUUGUAGGGCUCAUAGUAGAGCAAAUGGGGUUUUAGCUGUAGCAGCUAGUCCUUGGUUAGGAGAGAACAAGAUUAUCAGGUAAAACGUAAAGCAGUUCCCCUAGUGGUGGUUCAUAAUCAGGGAAGGCUGAGCUAAUUACUGUUUUGAUUAUAGUCAGGGAAGAGAUGGAACUGUCAAGUGUUGGGAUAUUGAAGAUGGUGGUCUAUCAAGGUUCCCUUUUAACUGUCUCUUUGCUAUCUGAUUCUUGUGAUAGAUUUGUUCUUAAUAUUUGGUUGACAUGCUUGGCAGGGAUCCAUUACUAGUACUCAAUACAAGCGCCUAUCAUUUUUGCAAGUUCUCUCUUGUCAAGAAGCCUAAGGCUUCUCUCAAAGAAGCUGAAGGUCACUCCAAGAAUCGCGAUGAGCAGGAUGCUGGAGACACGUGUAAUGUUCAAUGUACAGAUGAUAGUGAGGGAUCUGUGGGGGAUUCUGAUUUGCUUCAGGGUAUGUUUUACUUGUCUUGUGGUCUGGUCUGGUCUGGUCAUUGUUUUCGACUGAACUGAUCUUGUGCAAUUUUUGAAUGCUAAAAAUGUAAGAUCGUAAAGUUGUUCUCGAAUUUUAUUCUUUCCAGUUGUCUGAUAUAGCAAAAAUAAAUUGUUUUUAUCUUCUGGUUGUGACAUACCAAAGUGUUCCUAAUAAUUUGAUAGUAACAGAUGGGGAUCAUGCUGAAAGAGCCACUUACGUAGCAGUAGCAGGGGAGGAACCUACUGAGGUGACUAGAAACCCAUAUGACUCUUUGUUAUUGACCAAAACCCCACUCGCUUAUUUGGUUUAUAUGUUAAGGUAGAGAUAUGGGAUCUGAAUACCAGAAGCAAGAUCAUACAGCUUCCUCAAGCUACUCCUGAUGAAUCCGCCAGUGCUUCUACUAAAGAAAGAGGUAAGCUUGUACUGUACUGUUUUCCGUAAGUACAUUGAUGUUUCCCCCAUCACUGAAAUUGUGGAAACUAGAAUGCCUUCAUCAUUUCACCUUUGCAAUUUGCUUAAAUACUUUCAUCAAGGUGUUAGAUUGGGUUAUAAUUUUUAAAACGUAGUCAUUCUUAAAUAUUUUUUGGAAUAAAUAAUUAUUUUUAAAUUUAAUCAACUGAAAAUAAUAUCCGUACAAUUGUGUGAGUCAAAUUCUAGUUUUAUUGAUGCAUGUUAUAUAUUAAUGCUGCAUGUUUUAGGUAACAUUUUAAAGAUGCACGUCUUUUAAAAUUUCCAUUAUUAAAAUUAUGCACGUAAGGAUAACUCAUGAGUUUUUUUGGUUGAUUAAAUAACAUUAUGUCCAAAUUUAUUUAAGGAUAUUUCAUUAAGGUAAUUGAAAAAGACAAACAAUAAAAUAGGAAAUUUAAAUUCAUUUAAACAUAUUUCAUUAAUGUAACUGAAAAGACAAGUAAUAAAUUAGACAGUUUUAUUCGUUUUAGGAUAUUUCAUAAAUGCAACUGAAAAAGACAAAAAAAAAAAGAAUUUAAUUAAUGAAGUAAGAAAAUUUUCAAAUGUUUAAUUCUCUUUCGAUAAUAUUGAUAUUUUAUUGCCUAGUCAAAAGGAUCUACAUUACCUGAUAAAACAAACAAAGAGGGGACAAAUAUGGAAAAGAAUCUGGAUAUUUGAAGGGUUUCAUGGGCCCAAAGAUCGUUACGCCCAUAUGUUAAAUGCUUAAACCUUUAUAACUUCCGGUUCUAAAAAAUCUCCGGUUUAAAAUAAUCAGAGUAUUAUUUAUCUGAAAAUUAGUCGUCACUUGCUUUCUCUCUCUCUGUGUGUCCCCAAAGAGUCCUCCGCCGCAUCUCAACUUGUCUCUCUAUCUCUAAAAUGGCUUCCUCUUGUCUCUCCUUCAACGCCUCUGUCAGCCCUAAUCAUGACCUCUUCCGCCGCCACCCUUCCUCCCCUCUCCUCCGCCACCGCCCCGUCCUCAUCUCAUGCACCUCCCCCGCAGACGGAAACAACACCACCACACCGAUCGAAACAAUCACCAAGCCUCGCCGAACCGAGAACACCAUCCGCGACGACGCACGUCUCCAACGCUCCACCGCCGCGAAUCCCUUCUCCGCCAGAUACGUCCCCUUCAACGCUCCCCCCGGAUCCAGCGAGCAAUACUCCCUCGACGAGAUCGUCUACCGCAGCCGCUCCGGCGGCCUCCUCGACGUCGAGCACGACAUGGAGGCUCUGAAG